UGCAACGGCUAUGCCACUCUGAACACGCCUGAUCUCGUCUGAUCUCGGAAGCUAAGCAGGGUUGGGCCUGGUUAGUACUUGGAUGGGAGACCACCUAGGAAGACAGGAUGCUGUAGGUG
rnacentral:rRNA from 1 species